rnacentral:lncRNA from 1 species
GCUGGAGCCUUCAAGUCCCCGUCAGCAGAAGCCUGUGAGUUGCAGUGAGAAAUUUCAAAUCUGACACUUGCCAGUUCCCAUCGAGCUCCGAGUGAAAAAUGUCCCUGGCUUCGUCCAUUUUUAAUGUCACAGUCAGCCUAGCAGAAGAGAUCACCUCCAGGUUUGCUAACGGACCCAUUUCCGUCGAGCUCCGGACCCUACUUCCCCGAGGCGAUGGCUCGCUCUGCUCUGCUGGAUCCGAGAGUGGGCUCUGUGAUUACCGCCCAGAAAGAGCGAGGGCGAGAGCUAAAGGCCAAGGAGAAGGCUGUGCAACCCAAACGGGCAGUGAAGUCUGGAGCGCCCGACCAGACCUGCAUCUUGACAGCCCCAACUGUCACUUCCAGGCUGCACUGUCUCACCGCGAGUCUGGAGUUUCAUCCCGACAAAACCUGGUAGGGACAGCGGAGGAGAGGAGAAAAGAGGCGCUAGGAAGGAAGGGAGAGGAGGGAGGAGGUGAGGAAGGAGAGGCAGGAAGAAUGUAAAUACUAGAGAAACGGAGAGAGGAGAUGCAAGAGGGAGAAAGCGCAGAUGUGUGCGAAACGGAAGCAGUGUGUGUGUGAGCGAGCAAAGGAUGCGAGAAAGAAGUGGAGAGAAGCACUGAGUGAGGACGGAGACCGAGGACACUGACAAGGCCUCAUCUUCGCCCGUGGCCCAAGUGUCCCCGGUUCCCUCCUACUGAUUCGAUCCCAUAACGAGCGCCGGGCGCGACCCCCGGCCUCCGCGCGGCCGCACCCCUCUCCUCCCUCCGGCGGCCGGCGGAGCCCCGAGGGCCCGACCCCCGCCGCUGCCGGGCGCCGGGAGGGAGGGAGCAGCGAGCGAGCGAGGAAGGGAGGGGCUGCCGGUGGGAGGCAACCAUGUGGUUCCAGCUCACUCUAUUUUUUCCCCCCUCUCUUUCUUCACUCCUUUUUCUUUCCAAACAGGGAAAAGUGUUCCUCGAAGCAGUAGCGUCUUUCUGCCUCGCCUAUUCGCGGCUAACGCGGGUCCCGGCUCCCGUCCAGGCGCAAGCCGCCAGGGGCGAGGGUUGGAAGCCCCUCUGCGCCGGGCGUGGGGACCCCGGAGCCGG